rnacentral:lncRNA from 1 species
AAGCUGUGUGAUGCCUGAUUUGGUAAAGACCAUUCGUGAAAAUAUCUACUUCUAAAUUAAACAUAAAAAAUGAUAUGGAAGUAAAAAAGAAAUUAGUUACAUCUAUGAACCAUACUUAUCUGUCGCGAGAUCAUAAACUUCUACAUCAGCAAGCCCUCUGGCACAUUGUGAGGUGCGCCCCCCAGCAACAUAAACCUUGCCACAGACCACAGAACAAGCAAAGUGUGACCGCGGAGUUCGCAUACUUGCUGCUCUAGUCCAGCGUUUAGUAAACGGAUCAUACUGCACAACAUCACUAGUUAUGAAAGGCUUCUGAUUUGGAAAUAUUGGAUCACGUGGUGCAUAGGAACCCCCAAUCACCAGAAAUUUAUUACAGACUGUAACACAUGAAAAUCCGUAAUGUUGACCAGUAGAGCUGUUUCCAGAUAUAUUGGGAAGAGAAUGCCAUUUAUCAGCCUCAGGAUCGUAAGCAACCCACUGAUUCUUAGAACCUUCAGUCAGAACAAACAACCAGUCUCCAGACCAUCCCUCUCUAGCUUUGUAGUUGGAAUAAUCUGAGGAGCGUAACACAUCUCUCCAUCCUUUAGAGACAGUCUCUAGAAUCCCGUGAUAACCAUGGGACAAUUUUGCCAAACAUCUCAGAGCUAAAUCGUCAGGCAAUCCAGGAAUGAUUGCUUGUUUAUUUGUUUCCCUGACAUAAUGUAUGACCAGAUGAUAACCAAAGAUUUCAUACAAGAUACUAAGCGUCCCUUAUAUAUGCAGUAUGAUAGCAUGACCCAUUUGAUAUAUUAUCUGACAAUGAAAAUGUAAUGAAUCACCAAAAUAAUGUAUACCAUGAUGGUGCUAGUGCAUCGGGACAAAAACCUUAGCUUCUAUCAUUCCUAUUCAUCAUAUAUUUCUGAAUAAUGGUUUUGCUAGUAUUGAGGUUUUUAAAAGCAACAGGUGAAAAGGAUUAUUUCAAUAGUAAUUCUAAACAUAUACUCCUAUUACAUAGAUGUUUUAGUUAAGAGUGAUUAAAAAAUAAAUGAUUAUUCUAGUUUGAAUCACAAGCAGAUAAACAAAAUUCUUCAUAAUACUAGACAACAUCUAAGCUCUCUGUAACUAAGAGGAGAUAAUGAGAAUAAUAUUACAACUUCAAUGUACAGAUAAUGAUAUAUAAGAUAUAUCCUAGAAGGCUAGAACCAUUCCACACAAAGCAAAUUUCUAAGCUCCAUAUUGCAAGGUCUAGAAGUCCUACCGAUUAAGAAUUGAAUUCUGCCAACAUAAUUUCGUGAUUUUAUAAAUUUCAUCACCCUUUGUUUCGCUCAGAUGACAAGUAUAUUAUAAUAUUAAUUAAACAAUCAAAGGUAAAGGAUUGAAAAAAAAUUGAAGGCGGGAAAAUCAAUAUUCGUUUCUUUGCAUGGCAAUUCUGUCGCUUAGUGGAAAGUUACACCACCGACAAUGUAACGUUAUAUCUUUGAAAAGUAAAGUGACUUCAUGUUUUUAAUGCUUGGCGUAUAACCAAGCAAAUUUUAAUGCAGUUACUAAUUUAAUCCAAAGUCUUACAGUUAUGAUUAUAUAGUUUCUCUAUAUACUGUAAUAGCUCCUAUUAUGAUUUGCUAUUACUUCAAUCCAAAGUCUUCAUACUUACACAAAUUGUUUCUCUAUAAAAUGGCUACACUUAUGCUCCACUUGGUUGGAUGGAAUUAAAUUAGGUGGGCAUCUAAUGAAAUUUGUACUAUUUUUAAUAACUUUCUUUCCAUUUCCCUUCCAUCCACAAAGAUUUAUACUAGAGCUAGACUUCGCGAUAAUAGGGAUGACUACCUCAUUCCUACCUCCGUUCAUAAUAUUCAAAAUGCUCAUAAUAAUACUCUUUUGUCUAGCCUUCAUUUGUUUUCACAAUUUCUUUGCAUUUCUUCCGAUCAAACGUAGCAUUUAUNAAAUUUGCCUUGGUAAGACAAUCCUAAGCAAUCCAUCAGCGGGCCGGGCAUUGGUGGCAAAUCUUCCCACCUGCAUAUGAUUUAUCUUCUGUGUAAGCUACUUAAAUUAUCAACUUGAGCAAAUUAAGAAAAACACAGACCCGCCGUGAGAUCUGGACUCUUGACACAAAAAGUGAUCAGUAUAACCAGGGUAAGGUGUGCUUACACAGGGCCCACAACAGGUAAAACUAGCACUGUUACAUUUGACCUCUACUUUUAUUUCCUUAUAUAGCAUGAGUAAGACAUAUCGGGAGGACAGAGGUUGUAUACAUGAUAAUAAGGUUAAUUUGACAGCACAGGAAACAAGACAUAUUCAACUGAGAAAUAAGCAUGUUGUAAGCUCUUGUCAACAAAAGAAGAAGCUGAUGUUCAAGUCUUAAACAAAUUUCCGCAUAAGUUGACGAACAAAUAUAUUGGUAAAAAAUAUGCAAUAAAGACUCUAACUCAACCCAAGGGGACCAACCGAGUACCCUUGACCUUUUCUGUACAUAUAAAUGUUAUAUUAUGUUCAAAACAUGAAAUGUGGAUGAUUAAAAAUAUUCGCUAACCAAUUAAAAACAGGACAAGAUUUUAAGAUCCUUGCAUACAUAAUUUUUGACAUCACAGAAAUUGUACAACAGUUUCAGAGCAUGUAGGGAGGCAGUUCUCAUCAUUUAUACGCAUAAAAAUGUGACUUAAGAAUCAAGUACUAUUCUUAUAUAUUUUAUUGUUUGUGUCUCAUUUAUCAUAAUUUUUAUAUAUUUUUUAUUCGACUAUGCUCUGGCUCUGCCAGAACGAAAAUGUGCAUCUUGGGCAACCUAUUUCUAACUUCCCAAGGGCGAGUAGUUCUGUUGAGUGUUCUUCUGAGGAUAGUAACCAUUGAUACAGAAGUCAAUAUUACAGAAGUAAUGAUAUAUAGGGAAUGUAGAACUAUAAUAAUAUCAAUAAUCAAAUAUUUAUGCCAAAAAAUAUUAAUUUGAUAUAUUUCCAUGUUUGUCAUGAAGUAAAGCUGUGUGAUGCCUGAUUUGGUAAAGACCAUUCGUGAAAAUAUCUACUUCUAAAUUAAACAUAAAAAAUGAUAUGGAAGUAAAAAAGAAAUUAGUUACAUCUAUGAACCAUACUUAUCUGUCGCGAGAUCAUAAACUUCUACAUCAGCAAGCCCUCUGGCACAUUGUGAGGUGCGCCCCCCAGCAACAUAAACCUUGCCACAGACCACAGAACAAGCAAAGUGUGACCGCGGAGUUCGCAUACUUGCUGCUCUAGUCCAGCGUUUAGUAAACGGAUCAUACUGCACAACAUCACUAGUUAUGAAAGGCUUCUGAUUUG